rnacentral:rRNA from 1 species
GAUGAACGCUGGCGGCGUGCCUAAUACAUGCAAGUCGAGCGAACAGAUGAGAAGCUUGCUUCUCUGAUGUUAGCGGCGGACGGGUGAGUAACACGUGGGUAACCUACCUAUAAGACUGGGAUAACUCCGGGAAACCGGGGCUAAUACCGGAUAAUAUUUUGAACCGCAUGGUUCAAUAGUGAAAGACGGUUUCGGCUGUCAGUUAUAGAUGGACCCGCGCCGUAUUAGCUAGUUGGUAAGGUAACGGCUUACCAAGGCGACGAUACGUAGCCCACCUGAGAGGGUGAUCGGCCACACUGGAACUGAGACACGGUCCAGACUCCUACGGGAGGCAGCAGUAGGGAAUCUUCCGCAAUGGGCGAAAGCCUGACGGAGCAACGCCGCGUGAGUGAUGAAGUUCUUCGGAUCGUAAAACUCUGUUGUUAGGGAAGAACAAAUUUGUUAGUAACUGAACAAGUCUUGACGGUACCUAACCAGAAAGCCACGGCUAACUACGUGCCAGCCGCCGCCGUAA